UUACGGUCAUAUUACAUUGAAACAUCGAUUCUUGUUCAAUCACCGACGUUAAGCAACGUCGAACCUGGUCAGUACCUAGAGAGGUGACCGCUUGGGAAUACCAGGUACUGUAAG